rnacentral:lncRNA from 1 species
CCAGCUACUCGGGAGCUGAGGUAGAAUUGCUUGAACCCGGGAGGCAGAGGUUGCAGUGAGCCAAGAUUGAACUCCAGGCUGGGCAACAAGAGUGAAACUCCAUCUCAGAAAAACCAACAAAUUAGCCGGGCAUGGUGGCAUGUCCCAGCUAUUCAGGAGGCUGAGGCAGAAGGAUCACUUGAGCCCCAGAGUUAGAGGCUGCAGUGAGCUAUGAUCAUGCCGCAGUACUCCAGCCUGGGUGACAGAGCAAGACUCUGUCUCUAAAAAAAGAGAAAAGGAAAUCAUUCCUGGGCCACUGUCCUAGACUGCACUGCAGGAAUGCCUCAUGCCGGUCGAGCUCUGCCCUGCUGUGAG